AACAGAGUAGAGAAUAAAGCGUUAAGUGUCGGUAGGAUGGGAUGUUGCCACCGAACGAAAAAUGAGAAAUCAUUUGCGGUUUUGUUCUCGCAUUCGCUGCA
rnacentral:ncRNA from 2 species